rnacentral:misc_RNA from 1 species
UACAAUAACUCUCGGACACUACGAGAUCAGCACACUGGGGGCAAAUUACUGUGCUCCUGCUACAACCUAACAACUAUGAACCCUAACGAGAUGAUCAUAAUACCGGGAGGUACGCACCUUUUCAUCUUCUUCGCCGCCGUCGCCGUUUCCGUCGUCGAGGAGAUCGAAGAGGUUCCGCGCGGAGGACCGCGGAGGAGAAGCCUCCUCCUCCACCGACUGGUCGUCGUCGGCGACGUCGGUGUCCUGCGGGGUGGCCUCACGCUCCUGGAGGACUCGCCGGAGCAACCUGGCGGACAUGCCGACGGCGAGCUGGGGCGCUGGUUAGGGUUCGGGAUUGUGCUUG